AUGCAUGUCUAAGUAUAAGCAAUUAUACAGCGAAACUGCGNAUGGCUCAUUAUAUAAGUUAUCGUUUAUUUGAUAGUACCUUACUACUUGGAUAACCGUGGUAAUUCUAGAGCUANUACAUGCUAAAAAUCCCGACUUCGGAAGGGAUGUAUUUAUUAGAUUAAAAACCAAUGCCCUCCGGGGCUCACUGGUGAUUCAUGAUAACUCCUCGAAUCGCAUGGCCUUGCGCCGGCGAUGGUUCAUUCAAAUUUCUUCCCUAUCAACUUUCGAUGUUUGGGUAUUGGCCAAACAUGGUUGCAACGGGUAACGGAGGGUUAGGGCUCGACCCCGGAGAAGGAGCCUGAGAAACGGCUACUACAUCCAAGGAAGGCAGCAGGCGCGCAAAUUACCCAAUCCCGACACGGGGAGGUAGUGACAAUAAAUACUGAUACAGGGCUCUUUUGGGUCUUGUAAUUGGAAUGAGUACAAUUUAAAUCCCUUAACGAGGAACANNNNNNNNNNNNNNNNNNNNNNNNNNNNNNNNNNNNNUCCAGAUCCAAUAGCGUAUAUUAAAGUUGUUGUGGUUAAAAAGCUCGUAGUUGAACCUUGGGCCUGGCUGGCCGGUCCGCCUCACCGCGUGUACUGGUCCGGCCGGGCCUUUCCCUCUGUGGAACCCCAUGCCCUUCACUGGGUGUGGCGGGGAAACAGGACUUUUACUGUGAAAAAAUUAGAGUGCUCCAGGCAGGCCUAUGCUCGAAUACAUUAGCAUGGAAUAAUAGAAUAGGACGUGUGGUUCUAUUUNGUUGGUUUCUAGGACCGCCGUAAUGAUUAAUAGGGACAGUCGGGGGCAUCAGUAUUCAAUUGUCAGAGGUGAAAUUCUUGGAUCAGUUGAAGACUAACUACUGCGAAAGCAUUUGCCAAGGAUGUUUUCAUUAAUCAGGAACGAAAGUUAGGGGAUCGAAGACGAUCAGAUACC
rnacentral:rRNA from 1 species